rnacentral:rRNA from 1 species
ACGCUCGACACCUACGGGAGGCAGCAGUGAGGGAUAUUGGUCAAUGGGGGAAACCCUGAACCAGCAACGCCGCGUGAGGGAUGACGGUCUUCGGAUUGUAAACCUCUGUCCUCUGUGAAGAUAAUGACGGUAGCAGAGGAGGAAGCUCCGGCUAACUACGUGCCAGCAGCCGGGUAAUCUGAGCGGGCUGGCAAGGC